rnacentral:rRNA from 1 species
GUCUUCCUACGGGGCGCAGCAGUGAGGAAUAUUGGUCAAUGGGAGAGAUCCUGAACCAGCCACGCCGCGUGAGGGAAGACGGCCCUAUGGGUUGUAAACCUCUUUUGUCGGAGAACAAAACCCGGGUCGUGUCCCGGACUGCGUGUAUCCGAAGAAAAAGCAUCGGCUAACUCCGUGCCAGCAGCCGCGGUAAUACGUAGGAUGCGAGCGUUAUCCGGAUUUAUUGGGUUUAAAUGGUGCGUAGGCGGUCCGUUAAGUCAGCGGU